GGGGCGUAGCCAGAGCCGGAUGAGGAGAGUCUGAGGGGAAGUUUGUCCGACGCCGCCGCCGGGGGCCGUUUGAGAAGCCGCCGCCGCCGCCCGGAAAGCGGGAGCCUUUGCCCCGCCGCCGCCAUGGGGAACCGGGGGAUGGAGGAGCUGAUCCCCCUGGUGAACAAACUGCAGGACGCGUUCAGCUCCAUCGGGCAGAGCUGCCACCUCGACCUGCCGCAGAUCGCCGUGGUGGGCGGCCAGAGUGCCGGCAAGAGCUCCGUGCUCGAGAACUUCGUCGGCCGAGAUUUCCUUCCCCGGGGCUCUGGCAUCGUUACCCGACGGCCUCUCAUCCUCCAGCUCAUCUUCUCCAAGACAGAGUAUGCUGAAUUCUUGCACUGCAAAUCGAAAAAGUUCACAGACUUUGACGAGGUGCGGCAGGAGAUCGAGGCGGAGACGGACCGUGCCACGGGAACCAACAAGGGCAUCUCCCCUGUCCCUAUCAACCUGAGGGUCUACUCUCCGCAUGUCUUGAACCUGACCUUGAUCGACCUUCCGGGCAUCACCAAAGUGCCUGUGGGAGACCAACCACAGGACAUCGAGUACCAGAUCAAGGAUAUGAUCCUGCAGUUCAUCAGCCGUGAGAGCAGCCUGAUUCUUGCUGUGACCCCAGCCAACAUGGACCUGGCCAACUCGGAUGCCCUCAAGAUGGCUAAGGAGGUUGAUCCUCAAGGCUUGCGGACCAUCGGUGUGAUCACGAAACUGGACCUCAUGGACGAAGGCACUGACGCCAGGGACAUCCUGGAGAACAAGUUGCUACCUCUGAGGAGAGGUUACAUCGGGGUAGUGAACCGGAGCCAGAAGGACAUUGAUGGCAAGAAGGACAUACGGGCUGCUCUGGCAGCCGAACGCAAGUUCUUCCUCUCGCAUCCAGCCUACCGGCACAUGGCAGACCGCAUGGGCACGCCGCACUUGCAGAAAGUCCUCAACCAGCAAUUGACCAACCACAUUCGAGAGACCCUGCCCUCACUACGCAGCAAGCUCCAGAGCCAGCUGUUGUCCCUGGAGAAGGAGGUGGAGGAGUACAAGAACUUUCGCCCCGAUGACCCCACACGCAAAACCAAAGCCUUGCUCCAAAUGGUCCAGCAAUUUGGGGUGGACUUUGAGAAGCGGAUUGAAGGCUCCGGCGACCAGGUGGACACACUGGAGCUUUCAGGCGGUGCCAGAAUAAACCGCAUCUUCCACGAGCGCUUCCCCUUUGAGCUGGUGAAGAUGGAAUUUGAUGAGAAGGACUUGAGGCGAGAAAUCAGCUAUGCAAUUAAAAACAUCCAUGGUGUAAGGACGGGGCUCUUCACACCAGACUUGGCAUUCGAGGCCAUUGUGAAAAAGCAGGUGGUGAAGCUGAAAGAGCCUUGUCUGAAGUGUGUCGACUUGGUUAUUCAGGAGUUAAUCAAUACAGUUAGACAGUGUACCAGUAAGCUUGGCUCCUACCCAAGGUUACGAGAGGAGACGGAGAGGAUUGUUACCACCUACAUCAGGGAACGGGAAGGGAAAACAAAGGACCAGAUUCUCCUGUUGAUCGACAUUGAGCUCUCUUACAUCAACACGAACCAUGAGGACUUCAUUGGAUUUGCCAACUGUUACACUGAGCAGCACUUGGCGACAGGUGCUCAGCAAAGAAGCACUCAGAUGAACAAGAAACGAGCCAUCCCAAAUCAGGGUGAGAUCCUGGUGAUCCGCAGGGGCUGGCUGACGAUCAACAACAUCAGCAUCAUGAAAGGGGGCUCUAAGGAGUAUUGGUUUGUGCUGACAGCUGAGUCACUGUCCUGGUACAAAGAUGAGGAGGAAAAGGAGAAGAAAUACAUGUUGCCUUUGGAUAACCUGAAAAUUCGGGACGUGGAGAAAGGCUUCAUGUCAAACAAGCAUGUCUUCGCCAUCUUUAAUACAGAGCAAAGGAAUGUCUAUAAAGAUCUCCGUCAGAUUGAGCUGGCCUGUGACUCCCAGGAAGAUGUGGACAGCUGGAAAGCCUCCUUCCUCCGGGCUGGCGUCUACCCCGAGAAAGACCAACAGACUGAGAACGAGGACGGCGUCCAAGAGAACACCUUCUCCAUGGACCCACAGCUGGAGCGGCAGGUGGAGACCAUCCGCAACCUCGUUGACUCCUAUGUGGGCAUCAUCAAUAAGUCCAUCCGUGACCUCAUGCCAAAGACCAUAAUGCACCUCAUGAUUAACAAUACCAAGGACUUCAUUCACUCAGAGCUACUGGCCUACCUGUACUCGUCUGCCGACCAGAACAGCCUGAUGGAGGAGUCAGCCGACCAGGCCCAGCGCAGGGAUGACAUGCUGCGCAUGUACCAUGCCCUCAAGGAGUCCUUGAAUAUCAUUGGCGACAUCAGCACCAGCACGGUCUCCACACCUGUCCCACCCCCUGUGGACGAUACAUGGCUGCAGACCGGGAGCAGUGGGCACAGGUCUGGUUGCCUGAGGAGGCAGGGGCUAGAACAAGUGACACAGUGUACUCCCUCCGCUGCAUCGCCGGCCUCUAUCUGCUGUGCUGCCACCUGGCAGGCCCCCAGCUGUGAGGGGCCCAACACCAGGGCCACCCUUAAUCCCCAUGCCUGCUGGGGGCCCUUCAUCCUUCACUGCUCCCCCUAUACCCUCACGGCCCGGACCUCAGAACGUAUUUGCUGCUAACAAUGACCCCUUCUCAGCCCCUCCUCAGAUCCCAUCGCGGCCGGCACGCAUCCCCCCUGGCAUCCCACCUGGCGUGCCCAGCAGAAGACCCCCCGCGGCACCGAACCGGCCAACCAUUAUCCGCCCGGCCGAGCCCUCCCUGCUAGACUAACUCUCCGGGGGGGGGUGUCCUAGCGACUCCGUGUGCCUGGUGUGGCUUCCCCCCCACAUACACAUCUGCCACUUUCAUUUGCCAUCAGGGGAGUGGGGAGGGGGAACUCAGUUUAAUCUAUGUUACAAAGGUUACCACCAUGAUUGAGCCACAGCUGGUUCCUAUACCCACAGCAGUGCCAGCCUCCCUCUCCUGGGUGAGAGCGCAGGCAUGGCAGGUGUUGGUUGUACAUACUGAUUGCACCAGUUUGGGAUGGGCUCUGUGCUCGUGGUCCUGCCUCCCCUCCUCUCUCCCCAUCUCUCUGCUGUUCCUACACUAGGAAAUGGGCAAUUGGCAUUAAUGAUGUGGGGGGGUGGAAUCUGCCAGCCCCCCACGGCAGAUCCCUCACAAUAGGAUGGAUCCACCCCGCGCCCCGGCGUGGAACAAGCAGUGGAGCCUCCUGUUUGUCUCUUUGGGUUGAAUAUUGCACUUUGUUGGAGUGGAGGGAACCACAUAUUUGACAACCCCACCCCCCUCUGGCCUCAGGGUUGCCUGAAUGUGUGGGGCAUUGAGAGGAGAGCUCUGAACUGGGGACUGUCUCCUUGCCUUUGCCAUGUGCAGAAUCUCUUUCCGCUGCCUCUUGGGCAGAUCAGAUUGAUCUCCGGCUUCCUCUUCCCUCCUGACACCCAGAAUUUUUUUUGUAUUGUUUAAUAUAUUCUAUAUGAAACUGAUUUCCGCCCCACCCUGCCCUAAACCCAAUUUUUUUUUUUGGCUAAACUGAUCAUAGUCUAUAUUUCAAUUUUAUAGCUUUGAGGAAAAUUUAUAUAUGGAGGAUGGGACUGCAAAUAGCCGUGUUGCUAAUAAAUCUAAUUCACCACAAACGGGGGCAGAUGAUCCAGGCUAGUCCUUUUGGCUGGAGGCACCAGUCAGCAGGGAAACCUCAGGUAUUUCUCAAGGGGUAACAGGGUUUGGAGGGAGCUAUUAAAGCAGCACUGUGCUGUAUGCAGCAUUCAUAACCCUUGGUAAUAACCAGCUAUAUCUGAAGCGGGUUUGAGUCCCACGCAGGGCAGGAGAGGAGAAGGGAGAGCCAGGAUCUGGGAGGCAGGGAUUCGUAUCUCAGUUGUCUUCCCAACCCACUGGGGCAGCUUUUGUUUCUGGGAGAGCUCCCCAUGUCCCUAGGCAUCACUACGGCAGCUUAGCUGGUGUCCAUGGAGGAGCAGAGAGAGCUGUCAGAGCCCUAGUAUGUCCUGUGGCUGGGAGCAAAGCACGUAACUGCCAGCAGGGGCUGACUCCAAGCAAAGGUUCACAUGGCCAUGGUGUGACAUAGCAUCCAAGAGAGGCUGAAUGCCCCAUGAGGAGAUCAUUGCCACUCCGCUGGGAGGAGGCUUCUUGCAGGGGGCUUGUUUUGCCAUUACAAAGGGUGCUUGGGAGAGCCCAUGUGCCUCUAGCCCCCAUGUCCCCUGCAUCCCCUGCUCCUGUAACUUAGCCUGCAGUGCCUUCUCAGCUGCCUCAGCAACAUGCAUGGCUGUGGCUGUGGCCAACACAGAGGUUAUACAUAUUGUUAGAGAUAGUCUGAUGUGGAAAAACUCCCAUCCCCUGGGUGGCUUCUAGCUCAGCCCCUGCUGUAAGCAAACCACUAAGGGUGGCACUAGGUGCCUAUCUCUCUGUGCCCACAGGGUCUGGAUCAGGUCAGUGCCUGCCUGCCUUAAACACCCUUUUGUGUUAAUGUUACCAUAGCAGCCUGGUUCCUUGCUGCCUGCUGGCAAGGAAGGGCUCCAACUUGGGACGUAGGCAGCAGUUAAUAACUCCUCAGGAUACCACGCUGUGGCCACUGUGCCAAGGGACAGAGGGUGCCAAGGGCUGGGUGACAAACCACACCCCCUCUGCCCCCUCCUUGCAAGCCAUUGGCUGGUGUAACUUGGGUCUGACAGCUGGGAUGGUGUUGGUGCCCCCCACCCCUGGAGCUAUAGCAAGGUCUCGCUAGCUUGGAAGGCAAGGCCGUUUCCUCCCUGCUACCAUCAGCUCUGAUCUCUCAGCCUUUUCAUGGUGCUAUGGCUAUUCUUGUGGCCUUCCCAGAGCUGCCCAAAGGCCCAGCUUGGGGUUUUUUGUUUGGGGUUGUUGUUUUUUUUGCCUCUACAAAAUGCAGCUGACUGUGCCUCCUGCUGGUGCUCACUGCUGUUAGCACUUGCAACACAGGACCCAGGACUUGCCCCAUCUCUCUCCUACUCCUUGGUUUGCCAAUGUGUAAGUGCCUCCGUUCUGUAUCCUAUUAAUAAACUAAAAAGAAAAAAAAUAAAGGGAAAAUUCUGCUGGUGAA